GAUGAACGCUGGCGGCGUGCUUAACACAUGCAAGUCGAACGGUGAAGGCGGAGCUUGCUCUGCUGGAUCAGUGGCGAACGGGUGAGUAACACGUGAGCAAUCUGCCCCUGACUCUGGGAUAAGCGCUGGAAACGGCGGCUAAUACUGGAUACGAGCUGCGAAGGCAUCUUCAGCAGCUGGAAAGAACUUCGGUCAGGGAUGAGCUCGCGGCCUAUCAGCUUGUUGGUGAGGUAACGGCUCACCAAGGCGUCGACGGGUAGCCGGCCUGAGAGGGUGACCGGCCACACUGGGACUGAGACACGGCCCAGACUCCUACGGGAGGCAGCAGUGGGGAAUAUUGCACAAUGGGCGAAAGCCUGAUGCAGCAACGCCGCGUGAGUGACGACGGCCUUCGGGUUGUAAACCUCUUUUAGCAGGGAAGAAGCGAAAGUGACGGUACCUGCAGAAAAAGCGCCGGCUAACUACGUG
rnacentral:rRNA from 1 species